GAAGCUUGGUCCCCAGUUGCAAGUAAUAGCUCCAAUUAAAUACUAGUUUGUUUGCGAGAUUUGUGUUGAGUGAGAAUGCUUAAUGUUAUGGAGUUGCAGUUGAAUUUACAUUUUGCAUUUUCUUUUUUAGUACCAUUUUGUUGUCUAUUGAUGUUGGUCGCCAUUUUUCUUAUCCUUUUUUCUUCGGAUUUUGAAAUUAGUUAAAUUUUGGGGAUCACUUAU
rnacentral:misc_RNA from 1 species